rnacentral:lncRNA from 1 species
AUGGAUGGAUGGGUGGAUGGAUAGAUGGGUGGAUGGAUGGAUGCAUAGGUGGAUGGAUGCAUAGGUGGAUGGAUGGAUGCAUGCAUGCAUAGGUGGAUAGGUGAAUGGAUAGAUGGAUUGAUAGAUGGGUGGAUAGAUGGGUGGAUGGAUGGAUGGAUGGAUGGAUAGAUGGAUGGUGGAUGGAUAGAUGGGUGGAUGAGUAGGUGGAUAGAUGGGUGGAUGGAUGGAUGGAUGGAUGAAUAGGUGGAUGGAUGAAUAGGUGGAUAGAUGGAUGGAUGGAUGGAUAGAUAGGUGGAUAGAUGGGUGGGUGGAUGGAUGGAUAGAUGGAUGGAGAGAUGGGUGGAUGAGUAGGUGGAUAGAUGGAUUGAUAGAUGGGUGGAUAGAUGGGUGGAUGGAUGGAUGGAUGGAUGAAUAGGUGGAUGGAUGAAUGAAUGGAUGGAUGAAUAGGUGGAUAGAUGGAUGGAUAGAUGGGUUGAUGGAUGAAUGGAUGGAUGGAUGGAUGGAUGGAUGGAUAGAUGGAUGAGUAGGUGGAUAGGUGAAUGGAUGGAUGAAUAGAUGGAUAGAUGGAUGAGUAGGUGGAUAGGUGAAUGGAUGGAUGAAUAGAUGGGUGGAUGAGUAGGUAUAUAGAUGAAUGAAUAGAUGGUUGGGUGGAUGGAUGGAUAGAUAGAUGGGUGCAUAGAUGGGUGGAUGGAUAGCUGUAUGAAUGGAUGGAUGGGUUGGUGGAUGGGUGGAUGGAUGGAUGGAUAGACGUGUGGGUGGAUGGAUGAAUGGAUAGAUGGAUGGAUGAAUGGAUGGUGGAUGGAUGGAUGGAUGUGUGGAUGGGUGAAUGGAUGGAUGGCCUGGAUUCUCAGCCAAAGGCUCAAAUGCUUCAGUGUGUAGAAAGUAUGAACCUCACCAUGGAGGCAGGGAGACACAGACCUCCCAGGAAGGCCACCAAGCCGUGGGCCAACGGCUCUCAGUGUGGACAGGGUAGGGCUCUCGUGACUGUGCACCCUGUGCCCGACCCUUGAGCUGUGUCCAUAGAAUGUGCCUCUCUAUUUGGCUCUAGAAGCUUCUCUGCCUCAACCUUUCCCAAGCCAAAGCCGAUGGCGGCCUGGGCUUGGCUCCUGCCGGGAGCCUGGACCAUCCAGUGGAACCCAGUUGGGUGUGACCUGGGGCAAGCCUGGCUGCUGAGAGCCCCCCUGCUCUUCACCCUGGGCGGGCAGCUCCCUGGCAGCCCACCUGUCUCUUGCUAGUCACCUCUCCCUCGGGAGCCCAGUCCACUGUCUGUAAAGGGGGCCCUGUGGCUGCUCCUUCCUGGCUUCGCCUGCAGACUGCGUGUGGGUCUGUAAAGCGCCACACGGGAGCCUCAGGGGGUGCGGCCAGCAGCCUGCGGCCCCGGGUGCUCCCGGCCUCUGCCCACACCCAGGGAAAGACGGGGUGCUCUUCUUAGAGGCCCCUGCCCUCCAGCCUCUGUGCCAGGUGGAACAGCCCUGUCCCUCUGAAAGACGCAGAAUCAGGAGUCAUCAGGGAGCAGAGAGCACCCCUCCCUGGACGCAGGCCCACCAGCACCUCGGUCUCAGACUUCCAGCCUCCAGAACUGUGGGAAGCAAAUUUCAGUUGUUCCUAAGUGACGCCGCCUUGGGCAUUUUGUUACAGCAACACCGACUGAGGCAUGGGUGAAGCGGACACCGGAUUCCCAUCUCCACCCCAAGGGGUCCCUGCAAGGAUUACAAUACGAGGGGAACGCGGGGUAGCCCGGGGCCUGACUCGGGGCUGGGAUGAGUGGGGGUCCCACUCUGUCCACCCCCAGCCCCGGGCUCGGCUUCCUUGUCUGUAGACGGGGUGUGACCAUGACCUGGCAUUUCCAGGGACUUGGCCCUGAGACAAGCACUGUGUCCCUCCUGCCACGAGAAGGGGAGAGUGGGAGGCGGUGGGACCAGGCAGGACACAGAAGGUGGUGCCAGGGCGGGGCCGGGAGCUAGGCCAGGAGGACGGCCUUGGCUACAGUGACUGGGGCCGGGGUGGCAUGAGGACCCAACCACUAGCCCCGGGGGGGGGGGAAGGGGACAGGAUGGGACUGGAUGGGACCUGCAGUCUGAGGAAAGAGAAAUCAGGGCAAGGGAUCGAGACCAUGGCAGGCUGAGUAGAAGAACAAGAGCCAGAGUUUGGGACUUGGAGCCCUGGAUGUGCCACCAAGCAGCCAUGUGCUUCAGCCACCCACUGCCGCGUGACAAAGAGCCCCGAGUCCAGGACUGUGAGAUGGUGAACCCACAUCUCUCCCAGCUCCUGAGGGUCCAGGAUCUGGGUGACAGAUCCUGAGCCAGGUGGCUCUGGUGGCUCAGGAGGCUCAGGAUGGGGACCCUGUGGCCACUUGCAGGGGCCUCCAUGGCCUACCAGGUGACCACGCCACAGGAGGCUCAUGAGCUAGCAGCUGUUUCCCCAGAAAAGCGAUUAAGAGAGAACAACCAAGCCCGGGACGCGGGGACUGUCACACCCUGCUCCGCACCCGCCACUCCACUGAGGCCGGGGGCCAAGCUGGCCAGCCCCGUGGGGAGGGGUCCUGCGGGCUGUGAAGACCAGCAGAGGGGCCACGGGCCCUCCGGGCGGCACCCCGUGUCCCGAGGGCCUGGCCCGUCCUUCGCCUCUCUGGACGCAGGCUCCUCCUCUGUAACUGGGGCUAACGACCUCACCACCAGGCUCACGGGCCCGAGCCCUUGCCCUGGGCGGACACCCAGGGCAGGCCUGUGUGGUCUUCGGCUCUGACUUCCAAUGCAGAGUCACUUGUGAAUGACAGCCGGGUCCCUUUGCUUCCUAGCCCCUCCCCCAGUUCUACAGGACCCCCGGGUGCAGUCCACGCUCAUCAGCUGGACGCUCAGAGCCCCCAAGGACUGGCAGCCCCACAUCCUGCCCCACUCGCCCCUGCGCCCUGGGUCCUCGCGUCCUCCGAGCUCCGCCUGGCAGCCCCCCGCCCCUGGGCCAACCCCUCCUCCUUCCCCGGACCCCCAUGGGCCAGGCCCUCUCCAGCAUCACCCGGCUGUGGCUCCCAGGACCCCCUUGCUCUCUGUCCCAGGUCACCCUGCUGUGCGCGCCCCAUCUCCUCACCACAGGGGUAGCUCAGCCCUGUGUCCAGCGGCCAGCACAGGCCCCGGGUGGCCCACCGCAGCGUUCCAGAAGGGCCAGGAACCAGAGAGUCAAAUCCAAGGCUUCCAGGGGUGGAGCUCUAGCCUGGCCCCGGCCUCCCUCCACCAGGUCUGGGGCCCCAGGAGGCCCUGCACCCUCCGCAGCUGCUGAGUCACUGAUGGGCCCUGGCGGGAGGCUGUCCAUCACCGGGAGCUGCCCUUUCCUCGGGGUGCCACCAGGGGGGUUGGCCUUUCUUAAAAAUAGAAGUAUCAUCAUCACCUUUCUGUCCCUGAGGCAGCCCGGGAGGCCAUUUUCAAAUGCAGAUUGCGUCCUCUGGCCGGGCUGGAAGCCCUUCCUUCCCUCACAGGGUCAGGGUGCGGUGGGAGCUGCUCUGGGUGACAUUGCUGUGGGACUGGCCUCCUGGCGCCCAGCCCUUCUCGGCUCCCAGGCCCUAGCUCAGCAGCGUCUCGCCCCCUUCUGAAAAGAGCAAGUGCCAUUGGAACUCACAGGGGGCUUCCAGCAGAGGGGGCAGGUGACAAGGCCCUGGGGCAGGUGGGGCAGAGCCGCUGGGAAGCCCCUAGCUGCAGCCAGGCCCUGUUCUGCCGUGGGGCGGGCUGACGCACAGACAGGCCCAGCAGAACACGGGUUGGGGAUGGAGGAGGCCCAGCAAGUCCCCUGGAGGUUAUGUGGAGCACGUCCCCAGGGGAGCUGCUGAGAGAUUUCGGAGUUCCUUUGUGACCCCGGCAUUGUCACAGCCAAGUCAAUGAAGGAGUGAAUAAAAGGGGCUUCCUGUGUGUCCUGGCCGACCCGAGUGGGCGGGAGGAGGACCACCCCCUCCACGGAGCACCUGGGGGAGGGUCGGGCCGGGCAGCUGCCACCCUCUGGGCCUCGGGUGAGGCUGCGUCCUGGCACAGGGCCAGGCGCGGAGAGACACCAGCUCAGGGGGGAGGGAAGGGGCUGGGGGAGGUGACCUCCAGAGCCACCCCAGGGACUCCUGCCCCCUGCGAGGUCCCACCUCCAGCCGUCCAUUCAGCAUCUGUGGAUUAAUCCGCGAGGCCACAGCCCCUGGGACCCUUGUCACCUCAAGCCCCACCUCGGGGCCUUGCUACACUGGACACCAGGCUCUCGACCUGAGACUUUGGGGGACAUUCUGAAUCCAAACCGUAACAAAAAUCCACACCCGGACGUGAGGACGUGGCACAGAACACCUCAGACCCCCACUAAGGACGCGCCUCGAAGCGCGAGUGCGGAGCUCUGGGCGCGUGGAGUUCAGCUGUGGCUGAGACACCGUGCUCCUUUGUCACACUGGCUCCCGGAUCCUCAGCCACGCACCAGGUGGCACACAGCACGUCUCCCCGGUGCCAUGGGGUCUCGCCACCACUCAACUUUGUCAAAGGGGACGUGAAGCCCGAGAGGUUGAUGGACUUGCUCCAGGUCACACCGAGGCGCGGAGUCCGGAGCCCUCUGCAGAGCUGAGCUGCCUCCCCAGGUGACAGGGAAAACCCAAGUCCCAUCCAGGGAAAGGAACCGCCCAGCGGGGCAUCUGGGGACGGAGUCGAGGCCAAGGGCAAGACAGGCACCUCAUGGCCAUGGCCAGCGUGGCUUCCCUCCCCAAGGGGCCUCUGCACAGAGGGAAGAGCAGCAGAGGACCGGGCUGGGUGGCCGGGCGAGGCUGAAGGGGUCACAGAGGCUGGAGGAGGAGGCAGAGGCCGGACCAGCACUGAAGCCCUCCUCCCUCAUCUCCACUGUCCCCGUCGUAAACUAGGACACGGGGCUGGUCACAUCAAACCGACCUGAGCCAAAAGAAGAACUUCCCGGCUCCCAAGGUGCAGAAGGGCCUGGGCUGUCUGCCUUCAGGCAAAGCUUGAUCAAGAUGCCGUGUGAUGAGGAGGGGAGGCGCCUCUCCUUCCAAUUCCCAGCCACACCAGGGUCGGGAGGCUUCGCGGUUCAGAAGCUCCCCCAAGUGAGGGUAGGUGGCAGCCGAAGCCCAAAGCCUCCCUCCCCAGGGCCACACGCCCCCCUUCCUCAGCACCCAGUCCUGCUGUGGGUUGAAUAUGGAUAAUGUCCCCUAAGAUCUGGGCACUAAAGUCUUGGUCACCAGGUGACACUGUUGAAGUACAGUGGACCUUCAAGAGGCAGGGCUAGCAGAGGCCCUCAGGUCACUGGGGGUAUCCCUUAAAGAGGGUGUGGGACCCCUUCUCUCUCUACUUCCUGGCUCUUGAUGUAAACAGUCGGCUCUGUCACGGGCUCCCCGCAGCGGGUGCCCUGCCCAGAGCACCAGGGCUGCCUCUUCUUGGACUGGAGCCUCCAGACAGUGAAUCAAGAAAACUCUUUUUAUGGGGGGUGAACAGGGAUUGAACCUAGGUGUGUGCUAACCACUGAGCCACAUCCCCAGUUCCCUUUUAUAUUUUAUUUUGAGACAGAGUCUGAGUUGCUUAGGGCUUUGAACUUGCAACCCUCCUGCCUCAGCCUCCCAAGCCUCUGGGAUUACAGGCAUGUACCACCACCACGCCUGGCCAACCUUUUCUUUUUAUAAGCUGAUUGCCUCAGGUAUUUUGUUAUAGUGACAGAGAGCUCUCCAACACGCCUCCUAACCAACAUGGCAGGACCAGACAUCUGCCUGUUAACUCAAACGAGCGAUUUGAAGCAGAGGACCAUUUUUAGGGGAUCCAUGUGUUCCUCUGGAAUGAUAAGAAUGUGGAAACCUAAAAAAGGUGCUAGUUAUGGGCUCUGUGAACUCACUAAAUGUCACUUCACUGUGCACUUCCAAGUGGUCAACAGCAGUAGUCUGCAAAUUGUCCCUCAGUUUUUUAAAGUUCUCCCAAAACAUGACCCGUGUGUCCCUUAGCAUCUUAUUUCAAAUUGAAAACAUCUCCUGAGCGUCCCCCACCCACCUUUGCGGGUAGGACUUGGCUUCAAACAUCAGCAUCACCUCUAGCUGGCCCUCCUUGAUCUGUUACCCCUGCCCCAGAGGGUGCAGUGUCUGUGGUCCAGUCUGGGUUCACUGAAGAAAAUACAGAUCUAGCCCUGCCCAGGCCGGAGGCCGGGGAAGCCACAGCCUUCAGCCUCCAUGGGAGGAGCAGCAUAUGAGGCCCAGUGAGGAGUCCUGGGGGCUGCCUCCUCCGUGGGGGGAGGCGGGGCCAGGCCGGACCCCACUGGGCGCCUUUGCAGGAGCCUGUCCUUUUAUCUGAUCGGGAGGAGGCUGGGGAGCGCCCACACCGGUUUGGCCGCCUGCCUCCCACCAGUCGUCACUUGGCAUCCAGACAGACCUCCGACUCCGUUUGUUUAACUCCAAAUAAAGACAAUAGCAAAACGCG